rnacentral:rRNA from 1 species
GAUGAACGCUGGCGGCGUGCCUAAUACAUGCAAGUCGAGCGAACAGACGGGGAGCUUGCUCCUUUGACGUUAGCGGCGGACGGGUGAGUAACACGUGGGUAACCUACCUAUAAGACUGGGAUAACUUCGGGAAACCGGAGCUAAUACCGGAUAAUAUUUCGAACCGCAUGGUUCGAUAGUGAAAGAUGGCUUUGCUAUCACUUAUAGAUGGACCUGCGCCGUAUUAGCUAGUUGGUAAGGUAACGGCUUACCAAGGCAACGAUACGUAGCCGACCUGAGAGGAUGAUCGGCCACACUGGACCUGAGACACGGUCCAGACUCCUACGGGAGGCAGCAGUAGGCAAUCUUCCGCAAUGGGCGAAAGCCUGACGGAGCAACGCCGCGUGAGUGAUGAAGGUCUUCGGAUCGUAAAACUCUGUUAUUAGGGAAGAACAAACGUGUAAGUAACUGUGCACGUCUUGACGGUACCUAAUCAGAAAGCCACGGCUAACUACGUG